rnacentral:rRNA from 1 species
GCAAGUCGAACGAGAUGCAUUCUUCGGAAUGUUAUCUAGUGGCGGACGGGUGCGUAACACGUGGGAAUCUACCUUAUAGUGGGGGAUAACUUCUGGAAACGGGAGUUAAUACCCCAUACGCCCUUCGGGGGAAAGAUUUAUCGCUAUAAGAUGAGCCCGCGGUGGAUUAGAUAGUUGGUGAGGUAAAGGCUCACCAAGUCUACGAUCUAUAGCUGGUCUGAGAGGAUGACC